rnacentral:rRNA from 1 species
ACGGGCCAGACUCCUACCGGAGGCAGCAGUGGGGAAUUCUUGCACAAUGGGGGAAACCCUGAUGCAGCGACGCCGCGUGAGCGAUGAAGCCCUUCGGGGUGUAAAGCUCUUUCGGCAGGGAAGAUUAUGACGGUACCUGCAGAAGCAGCUGCGGCUAACUACGUGCCAGCAGCCGCGGUAAUACGUAGGCAGCAAGCGUUGUUCGGAGUUACUGGGCGUAAAGGGUGUGUAGGCGGUUGUUUAAGUUUGGUGUGAAAUCUCCCGGCUCAACUGGGAGGGUGCGCCGAAUACUGAAUGACUUCGAGUACGGGAGAGGAAAGUGGAAUUCCUGGUGUAGCGGUGAAAUGCGUAGAUAUCAGGAGGAACACCGGUGGUGUAGACGGCUUUCUGGACCGUAACUGACGCUGAGACACGAAAGCGUGGGUAGCAAACAGGAUUAGAUACCCUGGUAGUCCACGCCCUAAACGAUGCAUAUUUGGUGUGGGCAGUUCAUUCUGUCCGUGCCGGAGCUAACGCGUUAAAUAUGCCGCCUGGGGAGUACAGUCGCAAGGCUGAAACUCAAAGGAAUUGACGGGGGCCCGCACAAGCGGUGGAGCAUGUGGUUCAAUUCGACGCAACGCGAAGAACCUUACCUGGGCUCGAACGGCUGGUCAACGGCGGUGGAAACAUCGCUACCCCGCAAGGGGGUCCAGUCGAGGUGCUGCAUGGCUGUCGUUCAGCU